ACUCUGAAUUUGCAUGUUAGACUUCUUCCUAGUGUGAUAGUAACUAGGAGUGUCGUGAAGUAAAUGGCUGGGAGGGUGGGCGGAGACAGUGAAUUACAAAACAUUAUUUGGGGUUUAUAAAGGGGUUAGGGCUGGAAAACACCAAGGAGGUGUUGUUACAGCCAAAAAUACUCCUGCUUAUGGUCUUCCUAGCACAGUUUAUUAUCUGCUAUUGGUUUUUAUUAGAUAAAUGUCCAAGUACAUUCAUAAGUUUCUUUAACAAAAAUUCAUUUGCCCAAAAUAUACUAGGAAGACAUGAGCAUGACUUUAAUCUUUUAUGAUUCAGAUGUCCAGCACUUUCUCAUAAUAAACUUUCAGUGAUAGAAAGCCAAAAACACAUUUUAGUGUCUUAUUUUAAAUAUAGCUUUAUUUUGCCUCCCGGGGUGUGUAAACAGGUUUUACAUUGAAAAGUAAAACCUUUCAUUUAACAUGCAAGCUACUCAGUUUUCUUUUUCAUAGAUAAGGUGUACCAGUAUGAUCUAUAUCGAAUUAAUUUCUAGAGCAAGCUAAAGGAGGGAUUUGUAUAUAGUACCAUAUGUACAUACAAUAGCAGAAUGAGGAAAUUGAGAAAACUUAGGUAGUGUGGUAAGUCAAUGCUUUUCUUCUUUUAGAAUGAAGUUUUCGUUUCUGCAUAAGGAUUCUUUGACAUCUUACGACCCAACUCUUUGCUAAAUAUUUGCCCCUUAAAAUAAUUUUUUUUUAUUGAGCAUACUUUGGCCCUCCAAAUUGACUAAUAUGUAUUUGGAUAAUUUUUACAUCUGUGUGUCUAUUAACUGCCUGCUAUCUUUUUGCAGGUAACUGUCCUGUACGUAAUUUUUUGGUCAGAGUGAUUACUCUUACUGCAUAAGAGUUUCCUAGAUAUUGUUGAUUAUGCCCUUUCUUUCCCUGUGAGGCCCUUCUUCUGGCAGGAGAAGUCAUGUGCUUUAAAGUUUGUAUAUUCAUCAUCCACACAUUUUUUUUUUUCUAAAUUGAAAAUACAUCCUGUUUGCAGCAAAUAUUACUUUGUGGUAAAAAUUUUAAAACAACAGUGAUAACUGGUACACGUUUGAUAAUUGAUAGUUUGUUUCCUUAGAAAUAAUAUUACCUGUGAUGAAGAGACUGACUCAGAAAAGCUGCUGCAAAUAAAGCUCUUGGUUAUAGAUUUAUACUAUGCUUAAACUUAGAGAUGGAAACCGUAGACCCUCAAAACUACAUCCUUUUUGGGGAUAUGUUAGUAUUUGCUGUGUUGAAGUAAGUGACAAGUUUAGGUCGGCUGUAUAAAUUACGUACUUUAAUGCCACGGAAAUGAAAAGUAAAGCAAUUAUCUUGCUUCCCCAUUAUUUUGUAUUUAAUAAAUUUGUCAACAUUGGUUGAACUUUUUAUAUUAUAUACUAAAAAGUGUUUUAAAUGCUACAUAUAUCUUUAUGGCUACCUUUUGAAUUAUUUUUUAUUUUCUGAACUAAUGAUCCUAUUUGAAUGCAGUAAUUUUAUCUGUAUCAAUCGUGUGCUCAUUUCUGUUUGUUUUUUUAAAUUGUUUUAUACUUCUAUUUGCUACUCUUCUGUUUUUCUUUUAAUUGAAAACAAUAGGAGCAAAUGGUUUGAUGUUGGAAUUUUAUAAAUUGUAGAAAUACUGAUUUGGCUUAAAAUGUUUUCUCUGAUUGUGUGGUUUUUAGUAAAAUGAACUUUCUUACUCUCUUCUUUCAACUUGGUAUUUUUUGACAAUGUUUUUUGGAUUUGAUGUAUAACUGUUUAACUUUACAUAACAUUUAUUGGGCCUUAUAUUGAUAAUUUGAAAAAAUUUUAUAUUAGUAAGAUAGGUAUAAUUUUACUAAUAUUUUCAAUCAUGGUGAUGAGAGGUUAAUUCCACUUACUUUAGUGGGGUAUAUGUUCAUGUAUACAACUGCAUGCACAUGUAUGGUUUUGUGUGUUUGUACAGGGUGUUAUUUUGUGGUACUUUUUGUAAUGAGAGUAUUUCUUCUGUUUUUUUUUUUUUUUUUUUCUCCUCAGUUUGUUUUAAUUAAAUUCUGUAAAAACCCAAAGUACCACCAUGUCCAUAAUUGUUUGAACAGCUUCAUUUGGUUAGUAGUAGCAGCUAUCUGUCUCAAUGUGAGAUUAUGUAGAAAUUGGAUGCCAAAAGAGAAAAUCUUAAGCUUUCUCUCUCCCUCUAGCCCCCUUCGCUGCCCCCCCCCCCUCACUUUCUCCCUCUUUCCCCCUUCUUUCUUCCCUCUCUCCUCCAGGCCUUUUUUUGGUUUCUCUUUUUCUGUUUUGGCAUUUCUAUAAAGUCUCAAAGUAGUUUCUUAAAGUUCUUGGAGGGGAUACUGACAUUAAUCCUCACUAAUGAAUACCUGAGACUGCUUAUCAAUAACAGCUGUAGUGCUGUGGCUUUUCUCCAUGGACGCAUGGUGGUCUUUGGAACAACGUUCUUCAAUUUUGACAGUUUCUUACGUUAAAGAUUACAUGUAUGGGUCUUCUUAAUUGUGUUGAAUCAAACGUGGCUGUGGACACUCAUCUUUAAAAUUGAGCUAACACUCAUCCUAAGGUUAUUGUCUUCCAGCAUUUUCAUAUGGAUGAACUUCUACUUCUCUGUUUUUGGGGAACCGAGGAGAAGAUUUAUGCCUAAGUGUUUUCUAAAGAGUUUGUUAAGUAUCAUCUGACUUCUCAAUAAAUUAUAGUUCUGAUGA